UCGGGAAUUUUGGGCAAUGGGCGAAAGCCUGACCCAGCAACGCCGCGUGAAGGAUGAAGUAUUUCGGUAUGUAAACUUCGAAAGAAUAGGAAGAAUAAAUGACGGUACUAUUUAUAAGGUCCGGCUAACUACGUGCCAGCAGCCGCGGUAAUACGAAGGGGGCUAGCGUUGUUCGGAAUCACUGGGCGUAAAGCGCACGUAGGCGGAUGUGCCAGUCAGGGGUGAAAUCCCGGAGCUCAACUCCGGAACUGCCUCUGAUACUGCACGUCUUGAGUUCGAGAGAGGUGGGUGGAAUUCCUAGUGUAGAGGUGAAAUUCGUAGAUAUUAGGAAGAACACCAGUGGCGAAGGCGGCCCACUGGCUCGAUACUGACGCUGAGGUGCGAAAGCGUGGGGAGCAAACAGGAUUAGAUACCCCGGUAGUCCCUGAGCGGGCUGGCAAGGCGCAU
rnacentral:rRNA from 1 species